AACGAACGCUGGCGGCAUGCCUAACACAUGCAAGUCGAACGAGACCUUCGGGUCUAGUGGCGCACGGGUGCGUAACGCGGGGGAACCUGCCCUUAGGUUCGGAAUAACUCCCCGAAAGGGGUGCUAAUACCGGAUAAUGUCUCCGGACCAAAGAUUGAUCGCCUUUGGAUGGGCCCGCGUUGGAUUAGCUAGUUGGUAGGGUAAAAGCCUCCCAAGGCGACGAUCCAUAGCUGGUCUGAGAGGAUGAUCAGCCACACUGGGACUGAGACACGGCCCAGACUCCUACGGGAGGCAGCAGUGGGGAAUAUUGGACAAUGGGCGAAAGCCUGAUCCAGCAAUGCCGCGUGAGUGAUGAAGGCCUUAGGGUUGUAAAGCUCUUUUACCCGGGAUGAUAAUGACAGUACCGGGAGAAUAAGCUCCGGCUAACUCCGUG
rnacentral:rRNA from 1 species